AGCAGAAUUUAAUAAACUGCAGGGGUGCAGCACUGCUCUCAGCAUUUCCCCAGAGCAUUAUGCYCACAUAUGGAGUCUGUGAACUUCCAGCUCAACUGCAGAGGCAAAUGGAAACUUAGAGCCAGGUCAAAAAGGCUGUGCAAAAGAGGCUGGAGAGCAAAACCAGAUGGAUCUUUCACUAACAGAGACUYUGGUAUUCACUGGAGGAAAGAAAUCAGCUAUUCUAUAGACUAGGACAAUGGAGUAAACAGUUUGCUCUAGUUCUGUGUUUUUCAUCAGGGUAUGUGCUGGCACAGACUGUGUCAACACAGAUGUUGAACAGCAACUUUGAUCUGGGACAAAAUGCACUCAUUAAUGCUGURUUGUGGGUAGAUUGCAGAUCUGAAGACAUUAUAGAGGGAGGAGCCAAUCUCUGCAUCUUCAAGUUUAAARGGAAGACCUUAAUAAGGACUGCUGAACCUGACUAGCUGCCUCGUAGGAAAUUGUAAGCAGUCAUCACAUCUCCAUCACCUGGCACUUUUGCUCAGGGCCAAGGUGGGAAAACAUCCUGGAUCCUGUCCCCAGAUUCAGCCAAGAGGCCUCGAUGAUUCUGGCACGCUGCUUUGAGCUUUGAGGACUGGUUAUUCGAUCCAGCCAACCUCGAGAAAAGCAGCUGGGAUAGCCAGGCAAGCUGAAAACGUGGUGUUCUGAGCAUGGGGYACAAAAUCAGCAGAGUUCUGCUGCCCUCUCAUCCCAGCCCGGCUCAUGGAAGUGUCCAUCCUGCCCAAGCUGUGAGGUGUCCCUGGAACAUCAUGCUGCCCUGCUGGAUGGGAAGGGCUUCCAGCUCCCUCCUGAAUCCCUCCUCGCUCCUGAUGUGGAGCUGCCUCUGAUAUAUCUCAUUAUAUUGAGAAGAGCACUUAUUGGGAUAAGGCCUAAUUCUCCAGCAGCAGCACUGCCCAUGGCUUAUCUCCCACCAGGAUGAUGUCUGGUCAUGGAAAAGGAGGGCUGCAAUCAGCCGUGCUAUCGUGGCCUUCUUCCCCUCUGACUGGAUGAACCUGAGGAGC